rnacentral:rRNA from 1 species
UACGUAGGUGGCAAGCGUUGUCCGGAUUUAUUGGGCGUAAAGCGAGCGCAGGCGGAAAGAUAAGUCUGAUGUGAAAGCCUUCGGCUUAACCGGAGUAGUGCAUUGGAAACUGGGAGACUUGAGUGCAGAAGAGGAGAGUGGAACUCCAUGUGUAGCGGUGAAAUGCGUAGAUAUAUGGAAGAACACCAGUGGCGAAAGCGGCUCUCUGGUCUGUAACUGACGCUGAGGUUCGAAAGCGUGGGUAGCAAACAGG